AUUGAACGCUGGCGGCAUGCCUUACACAUGCAAGUCGAACGGCAGCGGGGGAGAAGCUUGCUCUUCCUGCCGGCGAGUGGCGAACGGGUGAGUAAUACAUCGGAACGUGCCCUGUAGUGGGGGAUAACUAGUCGAAAGAUUAGCUAAUACCGCAUACGACCUGAGGGUGAAAGUGGGGGACCGCAAGGCCUCAUGCUAUAGGAACGGCCGAUGGCUGAUUAGCUAGUUGGUGGGGUAAAGGCCUACCAAGGCGACGAUCAGUAGCUGGUCUGAGAGGACGAUCAGCCACACUGGGACUGAGACACGGCCCAGACUCCUACGGGAGGCAGCAGUGGGGAAUUUUGGACAAUGGGCGAAAGCCUGAUCCAGCAAUGCCGCGUGUGUGAAGAAGGCCUUCGGGUUGUAAAGCACUUUUGUCCGGAAAGAAAUGGCUCUGGUUAAUACCUGGGGUCGAUGACGGUACCGGAAGAAUAAGGACCGGCUAACUACGUGCCAGCCGCCGCCGUAA
rnacentral:rRNA from 1 species